AAAGAAAUUAAUUAGGAACAGAAUAAAAAGGUUUGGUGAGAUUAAAAAAUCCACCUGAAUCCAAUUGAACACCUUUCUCCACACUCAUUGAGCAAAAUCACAAUGCAACAAAAGAUGAGUAACAGACUAUAAGGAAUCAUAGCACCAUACAUAACUUGGGUUUUCCACUGCAAGAUUGACGCUCUUCCUUGAAAGGUUACUCCUAAUCGAAAUCUGAUCAUGAAGGACUUGCUAAGAGAAAGAUAUCAUCUUCGAAGGAGCCGGACUAUGGCAAAUAUUCUUGAACACCAUCGCCUGCAAACAAGACGUGUGUGAAGGGAACUUAACCCCCAUCCACCCCACACAACGGGUAAUGACUUCCACAUAUUUCACAAUAAGUAUCAUCUUCCAAAAAGGUCUAUCUUGUUGAAUAAUUUUCCAACGUCAUUUCGCCAACAAACUCAAAUUCACCACUCUAAUGUCCCUCACAUCUAAAUCGUCGUUACUCUUUUGGCACAUUGUCGUCCACUUUAUCCAACUAAUCUUUCUACCUCCAUUCACUCCU
rnacentral:lncRNA from 1 species